rnacentral:rRNA from 1 species
ACGUCAAAUCAUCAUGCCCCUUAUGUCCUGGGCUACACACGUGCUACAAUGGCCGUCACAGAGCGAACCGAACCCGUGAGGGGGAGGCAAUCGCGAAAGGCGGUCCCAGUUCGGAUCGCAGGCUGCAACUCGCCUGCGUGAAGUCGGAGUUGCUAGUAAUCGCGGAUCAGCAUGCCGCGGUGAAUACGUUCCCGGGCCUU